rnacentral:rRNA from 1 species
UGAGGAAUUUUGCGCAAUGGGCGAAAGCCUGACGCAGCAACGCCGCGUGAGUGAUGAAGGCUUUCGGGUCGUAAAGCUCUGUCAAGUGGGAAGAACACGCAGAAGGUUAAUACCCUUUUGCCCUGACGGUACCACUGAAGGAAGCACCGGCUAACUCCGUGCCAGCAGCCGCGGUAAUACGGGGGGUGCAAGCGUUACUCGGAAUCAUUGGGCGUAAAGGGCGCGCAGGCGGCCUGGCCAGUCAGAUGUGAAAGCCCGGGGCUCAACCCCGGAAGUGCAUUUGAUACUGCCAGGCUUGAGUAUGGGAGAGGGAAGCGGAAUUCCUGGUGUAGAGGUGAAAUUCGUAGAUAUCAGGAGGAACACCGGUGGCGAAGGCGGCUUCCUGGACCAAUACUGACGCUGAGGCGCGAAGGCGUGGGGAGCAAACAGGAUUAGAUACCCCUGUAGUCC